rnacentral:rRNA from 1 species
GACGAACGCUGGCGGCGUGCUUAACACAUGCAAGUCGAACGGAAAGGCCAGUGCUUGCACUGGUGCUCGAGUGGCGAACGGGUGAGUAACACGUGGGUGAUCUGCCUUGCACUCUGGGAUAAGCUUGGGAAACUGGGUCUAAUACCGGAUAGGAACCGUCUUUAGUGUGGUGGUUGGAAAGUUUUUUCGGUGCAAGAUGAGCUCGCGGCCUAUCAGCUUGUUGGUGGGGUAAUGGCCUACCAAGGCGUCGACGGGUAGCCGGCCUGAGAGGGUGUACGGCCACAUUGGGACUGAGAUACGGCCCAGACUCCUACGGGGGGCAGCAGUGGGGAAUAUUGCACAAUGGGCGGAAGCCUGAUGCAGCGACGCCGCGUGGGGGAUGACGGCCUUCGGGUUGUAAACUCCUUUCGACAGGGACGAAGCGUUAUGUGACGGUACCUGUAUAAGAAGCACCGGCUAACUACGUG